UAUUCUCAACUCAUUCAAUAUUGUCAAAAAUAUUGAACUGAGCUUGGAUGUGGAGGAUAUUUGCUGGCCUCACUACUCUGUGAAUCAGCUCCUCUGAAAUGCAUUAGUGUGAAUGUUUAUCAAGCAUUUUCUCAGUGUGAUAAUUAUCUACGCUGUGUAUCUUGGUGAAUCACGCUUCCGAACUGUCUGCAUCUGUGGACAACAUUUUAUUUGAC
rnacentral:misc_RNA from 1 species